AAAGGUGGGCCGCAGUCAUUUCAUCCCAUUCCCUGGAGAAACCCUGUCGAGUUCAGAAUUACCACCACCACCACCGCAAGGCUUGAACUCCUAGGUGAGAGGGUGCCGGAGGCAGAACAAAGACCAGCGUGGAUCACAAGUGACCCACCACCCCUCUGAGUAGAUCAUUUCAGAUGGUGGUUUUGUGAGUCCGUUAAACUUGCUUAAUUUAAUCAAGUGCGAGAAGCCAGUUUUGAUCCAUCAUUGACACUUAUCUUUGUGAUCUCCGGGAGCAGACACAUUUUUGGCGUUGACUGAUACUUCAGACUCUAACAGCCUCCAUACACAGUGAAGAGGAGAGACAGAACGGAAGCCAUCCCCUAGGUCAAAGUGAGCAAUCGCCCAUCAUCCUGCUUCCAGUCCACCAGCUUUGGCCCCCUCCGUGAAGCACUCUGGAUGAAAUUCACUCACAAUUCAUGCAGUCAAUUGCUUUGUGAUCAAAGUUAACGGACACACAGAAUUUCAGCACGUUUAACCGGAUUUAUAUGAUGUAUUAUUUAAUAGAAGUUACAAUAGGAUAAAUGUACAGUUGAA